CGGACGGGUGAGUAACGCGUGGGUAACCUGCCUCACACAGGGGGAUAGCAGUUGGAAACGGCUGAUAAUACCGCAUAAGCGCACAGUACCGCAUGGUACAGUGUGAAAAACUCCGGUGGUGUGAGAUGGACCCGCGUCUGAUUAGCUUGUUGGCAGGGUAACGGCCUACCAAGGCAACGAUCAGUAGCCGACCUGAGAGGGUGACCGGCCACAUUGGGACUGAGACACGGCCCAGACUCCUACGGGAGGCAGCAUG
rnacentral:rRNA from 1 species